UGUCGAAGCACCGGUCACAGCACUUGAUGAGCGAAAGGAGCCAUUGGGUGGGGCGCCCACAGGACGUGGGUGCCAGCCGAACCGGGCCAGGAUGGCCCGUUUGAGGCGACCCCAAGGGCCCCCGCAGCGAAUCAUAGUGCUGUCGGUGCGUAGACC
rfam:Desulfotomaculum hydrothermale Lam5 = DSM 18033, WGS project CAOS01000000 data, contig: ABX_2590_5